rnacentral:rRNA from 1 species
GCAGCCGCGGUAAUACGUAGGGCGCGAGCGUUGUCCGGAAUUAUUGGGCGUAAAGGGCUUGUAGGCGGUUGGUCGCGUCUGCCGUGAAAUCCUCUGGCUUAACUGGGGGCGUGCGGUGGGUACGGGCUGACUUGAGUGCGGUAGGGGAGACUGGAACUCCUGGUGUAGCGGUGGAAUGCGCAGAUAUCAGGAAGAACACCGGUGGCGAAGGCGGGUCUCUGGGCCGUUACUGACGCUGAGGAGCGAAAGCGUGGGGAGCGAACAGGAUUAGAUACCCUGGUAGUCCACGCUGUAAACGUUGGGCACUAGGUGUGGGGGCCACCCGUGGUUUCUGCGCCGUAGCUAACGCUUUAAGUGCCCCGCCUGGGGAGUACGGCCGCAAGGCUAAAACUCAAAGGAAUUGACGGGGGCCCGCACAAGCGGCGGAGCAUGCGGAUUAAUUCGAUGCAACGCGAAGAACCUUACCAAGGCUUGACAUAUACUGGACCGCAUCAGAGAUGGUGUUUCCCUUCGGGGCUGGUAUACAGGUGGUGCAUGGUUGUCGUCAGCUCGUGUCGUGAGAUGUUGGGUUAAGUCCCGCAACGAGCGCAACCCUUGCCCUAUGUUGCCAGCACGUGAUGGUGGGGACUCGUGGGGGACUGCCGGGGUUAACUCGGAGGAAGGUGGGGAUGACGUCAAAUCAUCAUGCCCCUUAUGUCUUGGGCUUCACGCAUGCUACAAUGG